rnacentral:lncRNA from 1 species
AUCUUCCUCACAGAUGCCCCAAGAAAAAACAGUGUAGACGGUUUCUCAUCUGAUUCCUGGCUGGAGAUGGAGGAGGAGUCCCGUGAGCAGCAGCUCCAGGAGGAGGAGGACAAGGAAGAGGAAGGGGAUGGUGCAGACAAAACACCCAAGCCACCCACCGAGGGCCCCACCUCACCCACCAGCACCCAGUCGGAAGACCAGGACAGCACAGGGAAGAAGCCUAAAGCCCCUGCUAUGCGAUUCCUCAAGAGGACUUUGUCCAAUGAGUCCGAGGAAAGUGUCAAGUCCACAGCGAUGCCCGUAGACUACCCCAAGACGCCCACAGGCUCCCCGGCCACUGAGGUUUCUACCAAGUGGACUCACCUUACCGAAUUUGAACUGAAGGGCUUGAAAGCCCUGGUUGAAAAACUAGAGUCUCUUCCGGAGAAUAAGAAGUGUGUCCCUGAGGGAAUUGAGGACCCCCAGGCCCUCCUGGAAGGUGUUAAGGUGGGCAGGGGCCAUGGCUGGGUCGGGCUUAGGGGUAGAUACUCUGGGGUUGGUCUAGGCGCUGGGCUGGUACUCCGUCUAGGCAAGCCUAUCUGGAUUAUUGAAUCUGGGACCACUUAGCAGCUAAGUGGAGGGACAUCAGCUUCUCUGUUGAUCCUUUUGGAAUUUCAAGGCUUCCCUCCACCCCCAGAACGUUCAGUGUGUGUUAUAACAAUCUUCUGUUGGCUUUGGCA